GAUGAACGCUGGCGGCGUGCCUAAUACAUGCAAGUCGAGCGAACGGACGAGAAGCUUGCUUCUCUGAUGUUAGCGGCGGACGGGUGAGUAACACGUGGAUAACCUACCUAUAAGACUGGGAUAACUUCGGGAAACCGGAGCUAAUACCGGAUGAUAUUUUGAACCGUAUGGUUCACAAGUGAAAGACGGUCUUGCUGUCACUUAUAGAUGGAUCCGCGCUGCAUUAGCUAGUUGGUAAGGUAACGGCUUACCAAGGCAACGAUGCAUAGCCGACCUGAGAGGGUGAUCGGCCACACUGGAACUGAGACACGGUCCAGACUCCUACGGGAGGCAGCAGUAGGGAAUCUUCCGCAAUGGGCGAAAGCCUGACGGAGCAACGCCGCGUGAGUGAUGAAGGUCUUCGGAUCGUAAAACUCUGUUAUUGGGAAAGAACAGUUGUGUAAUUAACUGUGCACAUCUUGACGGUACCUAAUCAGAAAGCCACGGCUAACUACGUG
rnacentral:rRNA from 1 species